rnacentral:rRNA from 1 species
GGGGAAUAUUGGACAAUGGGGGCAACCCUGAUCCAGCAAUGCCGCGUGUGUGAAGAAGGUCUUCGGGUUGUAAAGCACUUUCGACGGGGACGAUGAUGACGGUACCCGUAGAAGAAGCCCCGGCUAACUUCGUGCCAGCAGCCGCGGUAAUACGAAGGGGGCUAGCGUUGCUCGGAAUGACUGGGCGUAAAGGGCGUGUAGGCGGUUUACACAGUCAGAUGUGAAAUCCCCGGGCUUAACCUGGGAGCUGCAUUUGAUACGUGUAGACUAGAGUGUGAGAGAGGGUUGUGGAAUUCCCCAGUGUAGAGGUGAAAUUC